rnacentral:lncRNA from 1 species
GUUACAUAACCUGAUCGAUUCAGUUCUCUCCUACCACAUAUGUCCCAGGGAAGGAACUAAGAGCAUCAGCUUUAGCGGCAGGCAUCUAUACAUGAUGAUCCAUCUUGCCAGCCCCGUUAUUUUGUUUUGUUUUAUGGGUCAGGACUCCACAUUGUAGCCUUGGCUGGCGUCACAACCAUCUGAGUCCUGGGAUUACUGGUCUGCACAGCCAUUUUGGGCUUUUUAUCUGACUCUCAACCCUAAUCUUGGCUCACAUGGAACUCACUAUGAAAGCCCAGGCUGACCUAGAAUUUGUAAAAAUCUGCUUGCUUCAACCUUCCAAGUGCAAGAAUACAGGUGCGUUCAAAUGCAUGUGGGUGCCCUCAGGAGCCAGAAGAAGGUAUCCAAUAUCCUGGACUUGGAGUCUCAGGCAGUUGUAAGCCACUCAACAUAGAUGCUGGUUGCUGAACUCAGAGUCUCCGGAAGAGUAAUGAAUGCUCUUAACUGCUGGGCCAUCUCUUCAGCCCUAUGCCAUUUUAAAAUUUAAGACAGGCUGGCUUCAAGUUUUCCAUGUUGCCAAAGGUAAUCUUGAACUUCUUAUCCUGAAAAGCACCUUCACAGUGUUGGAAUUACUGACUUGUGCUGUUGUGUUGACAGGAUGCUGGGCAUCCAUGCUGGUCUGGCAGGCUAAACUCUACCAGCUGAGCUACAUCCCCAGCCCUUAUUUAUGAUUUAAAUACUAUUGACUUUCCUUUUCUAGACAAUAAUGUGAUGGGUGAUGUCUUUUUGUAUAUAUGUUUCUCUUAUUGGUUGAUGAAUAAAACACUGAUAGGCCAGUAGCCAGGCAGGAAGUAUAGAUGGGGCUACCAGAGUAGGAGAGGAUGCAGGGAGAAGCCACCAGGAAGAUUCCAUGUAGCUGACAAAGGAGUAACAUGCUGGAAUAUUCUCCAGUAAGCCAAAACCACAAAACACAGGUUGACAGAAAUGGGUUAAUAAUUAAGAGAGAGCUAGCCAAUAAGAAGC